CACAUCAUCCAGUGUGGUCGCGGCCUCCGGGUUCUUCCCGGGCGGUAGGAGGUAACACUCUUCACGCGCCACGCGUUUGAACCCUUUUUUUACGAGCACCUUUCAUUCUCCUUCGGUGGGGCAACCUGCCGCUGGAAUCAUACUAAAACCUUUUUUGCAUCUAGCAUUACCUGUUCCGAUAACAAACAAUCGUUA
rnacentral:misc_RNA from 1 species